AGGGAACUCUCCCACUUGAUU
rnacentral:misc_RNA from 1 species